GCAAAGAGGAUGAAAGGAUCCAAGAAGAGGAGAAGGAAGCUGCCCUUCUGUCAUGGUAUAAAAAAGGAAGAAAUACAUGGUCCACUGGAGAGCUCAGUGAAUCCUGGGAACCUAUUGAGGUUGAUGUUUAACUGGACCUCAAGCCAUUCCUCUCACUGCCCAUCCUCCUAAGUAUGAUGUAUGGCCUGAAGAAAUAAUCAUGGUGGGAACACAGAAAAUUUUCAUCAAAGGAGCAAGAAAUUCUUCAUAACUUCAACACAACAUGGCCUUUGGGAACAGAAUAAAACACAAAUAAGGAAAGGCGGAAAAUGAUUGACACAUGCACUGUUCUUGGUUUGAAAUUUAACAAUCAUGCUAGUUAUAGGAUACAGCUUUGAAAUUAGAGUCAAUGAGAGUUUGAAAAAUACUGAGGAAGAGUAGGUGAAUUGAAUUCUUGCUACAUGAAAGAAAACACUGGAUCUGAAGGUAAGGUACAUUUUAGAUGAUGACACUCGUCUUCUGCCACUAUUUAUUCAAUGCUUUUGUAUUUGUUACUAUAUUAUGUUCCAAAAACAUAUCAAUGAUUCUAGUUGUUCUUAAUUAAUGAACAUGCAGAUCAGCUGAUUUAAUAUUCCACAUUAUCUUAAUAUUCUUCUGUAUCUUUCAAUAUUAAAAUAAUAGAGAAUUAUUUUGAUUAGAGUAAAAUUUUAUUUUUUUAUCAUAUGAGAGAAGAAAUUAUUAACCAAGAAUGGAUAUUUGAUAUUUUCUAAAAGAUGUUAAUAGAGGUUGAAAGCAUAUAUAUAAGCUAAACCAUUUAUACCUUCUCCAAAUGAAACUCAUUGAAAUGUCAGUACACAUAAUAGUACGUAUAUGGAGUGAUAUAUAGGAAUAAAAACAUCCCCUAUGCAUCCAGAAUCAUCUAUUAUCCCCAUGAUGAAAGCCAAUAUUAGGAAGAGAAGAUGGUAGAGCCACUUUGCAGGAAAAUCAGCUUCAUUCAAAAUGAAGAUUGAGCUGGGAAUUGAUUUGACUAAGUGUAGUUAAGAAUAAUGUAAAUGCCCAAAAAUUGUAACCUCACUAGGUGGUAUGUCCUUGUUGCAGGAGGUAUGUUGUUCGGGGUAGGCUUUGAAGUUUCAAAGGAUUGAAGCUAUUUCAAUCUAGUUUUCUCCACCUUCCGCUUAUGGUCAGCAACCUCUGCCUGUAUAUCUUUGCUCUGAUAUCAUCAAUCACUGACUCUGAUAUUCUGGUUUAUAAGCCCAAAUAAAGUAUUUCUUUUAUAAGGAAUGAAUAAUAUAAAUGAGUUUAAUGCUAUGAGAAGCAGACCUUGUUUACCUGAUAUGGUUGCCUUUUCCUUUCUUAGCUUGGGCCGUCACACUUCUGCUAUGUUGAAUGAGACAUCUCCAUAUUCUCUACUCUCACUAACUGCAGUUUGUCAUUUGGCCCUCAGGACCUCCUUAUACCUGGGGCUGUAUUUUUGUUCCUGGAAGUUAGAAAGUUUGGAUUUCCUGACUUUGGAGGCAGGGUUAAAAGUAAAUGGGAAGUGAGUGACAUACAUACCACAACUCUUCUAUUUUAGUCCUUCAAUGGGGGAUAUUAGAGGAUGGGAUUACUGAGGUGAGCAGAAAGGAAAGGUGCUGCUUUAUUUGAAAUGUUUUCUUACCUCAUUCUGUGUCCCUGUAAAGAUCCAGCCUUAUCUCUCAGGCCUGGCCAUGUUCCUGUCACUGCUCACCUGCCUAUCUCUUGCAGCUCUUAAUUCUAAUUCCUGCUUCCCACUCUACGUUUCAUCUUGACCAGAUUUAGUGCAUUUUCAGUGUUCCUGCUCUGAAACGUACACAAGUUCUUUUACUUUUGUUUUAUUUUCAAACUUUCAAUGUUUAUGUUCUUUUUCGUUUUACCUCUUUUAUGGAAGCCUUAGAGGAGAAUCAUUCAUGGAUGUCUCUUUUGAUUGGAAUGAGAAAAUAAUGAAAAAAUCUUUUUUUUUAAAUUACAGGACAUUUUCAGUUUUUCUCUUCCAUAUAUGUGCCAUGCUAGUUUUUCUCCCUGUCUUGUCCUUAGUCCUUUCCUCCCCUUGCUACUUGGAUACUGCCUCUUAGGACUUACUGCAGAACCAUAAUUGCUGGCAUACACAAGCAAGGUGUUGAUUCUUCAUCACUUUUCUAACCUUUUUCUGCUUCUCUCUUGAGCUGUUUGAAUUAAUUUGGAUCACUCUACUCAAUAGUAUAUUGCUAUAAUGCUUG